CCUACGGGUGGCAGCAGUGAGGAAUAUUGGUCAAUGGUCGCGAGCCUGAACCAGCCAAGUAGCGUGAAGGAUGACUGCACUACGGGUUGUAAACUUCUUUUGUAAGGGAAUAAAGUGAGGGACGUGUGCCUUUUUGUGUGUACUUUAUGAAUAAGGAUCGGCUAACUCCGUGCCAGCAGCCGCGGUAAUACGGAGGAUUCGCGCGUUAUCCGGAUUUAUUGGGUUUAAAGGGAGCGUAGGUGGGUUGUUAAGUGCGGUGUGAAAGUUCGCGGCUCAACCCUAAAAUUGCAAUUGAUACUGGCAGCCUUGAGUACGGUUGAGGUAGGCGGAAUGCGUGGUGUAGCGGUGAAAUGCUUAGAUAUCGCGAAGAACUCCGAUUGCGAAGGCAGCUUAC
rnacentral:rRNA from 1 species